ensembl:snoRNA SNORD36 Small nucleolar RNA SNORD36
GUGCAAUGAUGCAUGAAUUUUUUCACCAGAAAUCACUGUAAAGAGCAAAGUCAAGCUUUUUAACACAGAGUCACA